rnacentral:tRNA from 1 species
GGGCGAUUAGCUCAGUGGGAGAGCGCUACCUUGACACGGUAGAGGUCACUGGUUCAAUCCCAGUAUCGCCCACC